AUCAUGACGAACGCCAAGGCGCGUGCGUAGUUGAUCCAAUUCGAACCGUUCAUCAUCUACUACAUCUAUAGAAGGGCGCAUCCAUUGAACAUUUUUCUCGAAACUUGUCCCAUGGCCCGUCGAUAUCGCUUCUUCCACCGACUUCGAGGGUUCUGGAAAUGCAUCUUGCUCAAACUGGCUGCCUCCCUCCCUCCGUGUAGCUCAUGCCCAUUCCCUGUUUGACCCUUCUCGGGCCUGCUCGAGCGAUACAUACAUCAAAUGGUCGCCUGGAAUAUAUGCCGGGUAGAGGAUGGAACGGGACGACAUCAUCACAUCUGCCCAGCGGCGAGAAAUUCUGAAAUUCGAGGCUUUGUUUGGUGAACUGGAAGAGGACACAAGCGCCAGCGCGCACAAUCAUUGAUGAUAGAGGUCCCUAUGAUAGAGGUAUCCCGAUAGACGCUUUCAAUUAUCCGGGCAUUCGGGGUCUGCUAUCAUGAAAGGAUCCUUGUAACAUUCAUUUAUUACAUCUCUAACACUCCGAUAUCCACGUCUACACUGUCUACCUUGCCCUUUGUCAAACCAUGGAUGGGUAUCAUUAUUAUUGUUAUUAUUACCUCUAUCAUUAUCAUUUGGGUAUACAACGCUGUCCCUUA